UGACUCUUGUUCAGUUCAUCAGAGGAAACGUGUCUUGUCUUACUUGCCCCCUCUUGGAGCUGAAGUGCCUUCUCAUGAGGGGAUUACAUGAGGCAAAGGCGCUGUGUAGUGGCUUAGUAAGCCGAUGCUGGGCGAGUGAACAAUAUUUGACGUUGGGUGAGUUUACGAAAAGGGCAGUCUCUCUGUUUGUUUAAACCGAGAUUAAGCGAAAGGAAAAGUUUCCCAUCCCAGGACAAAUGGGAAACAUAUGUUUUGCCUUUGGACUUUGUAAUACAAGGCACAAACGAUGCUCCCCGCCCCCCUCCGCUGUGAGUCUUCGAGCAUUGCAGAGUGUUUCCUCUCUUUGGUGGCCAAAGCCAAUAUGAGCCUUUAGAUUUCCAGACAGCAGAGCUAAUGGUGAUGACCCAGUUGAUUCCAGGUAAUUGUGUAGGGGCUGUUCCCGGGCCAUUUGUGAGUAGGCAGGAUGUGAUCCUGGGCACUGGGCUUGAGUCCUAGCUCUGCCUCACUCCAGGUGACCUCAUGUGAGCCUCAGUUUCCUCACCUGCGAAAUGAAACUGAUUGAACUUGAAAUGUCUCAGGUCAUUUCCAACUCUGGAAAGACUGUUGGUUUAGGUUGGUUCCUCCUGUCCGUGGGAGACUUUCCUAGCUGAGGGUCCCCUUUGCAUGGGCUUGGAGCAGCGUGGGAGACCUCGGGUGAGGAGCCUGCCCUACCACCGUGCCCGUGACUCACUGUGACCUUGGACAACUCACUGGCCCUCUUUGUGGGCAGGUGGGCAGCUGAUCCCUGCUGGGACACAGCGGCAGGGAGAAACCUCGGAUCCUGAAGCCAUCUGGCCUCUUCCGAAUCAUCCCUGGUCAUUAGGAACGUCUCCCCUCUGUUGAUUCAGAAUCUGCCUCGUCGAGUAAAUCCGACCCGCCCGUCGCCCCUGUAGAAGUUACUCCAUUCCAGCUUCAUUCCUCCUUCACAGUGCUUGAAGACGUGCCACCCCGAAGAAACCUCUUUUCCAGACUAAACAACUGUGGUGUCUUAAACAGAUUUUCGUUGACUUGCUUUUUGGAAUCCUAAAUGUUGUUGUGCUUUACAUGCUUCAAAUGGUCAGUGUCCCUUAAGAAAAAAAAGUGAGACUUUGAACCAAAUGCAGUGUUCUAAACGUGUACCCGUGGGUGUGCCUCCCGUUUCUGUGAUAGGUCAGCCAAGAGACGUGACGGCAACUCAGUGACUUAAAGAAUACAGGAUGUUUUUUCUCUGUCCCGAGUACCUGGGUGAGGUGAGUGAUCCAGGUAUCGGCAAGUGGCCCGGUUCUCUGCAGUCAUUCAGGGACCCAGGGCCCUUCCAGCUGGGGCACCGCAGUUCCAUGGGGUCCAGGCUGCCUGGCUGCCAGGCCCCAGAUGCAACCAGGAGGAAACCCAGAGAGUGAGGAGGCGUGUCCACCUCUUUAGGACCCCGGGUCCCAACACAGACCACCUCUUAGCAUCUCACUGCUGAGAACUCAGCCCAAGGUACUCAGCUGCAAGGGAGGCUGGGAAGGUGGUACCAUCCCCAGAGAGGAACGGGGGAGUGGACGUUGGCAGCCACGAAUAUGCACAGGCCUCACUGGGCUUUCAGUUUUGGAAAGACAGCAAGCUCCUUCCAUGGUCAUGGCCAAUGGACCCCUUGUCCUGCCUGGAAUGUUCCAUCUCCCUGUCUCCCCUUCCCCUUCAUAUGGUCUUGGCUUCAAUGCCACUUUCCCAGAGAGGCCUGGCCUGGCCUGGCCACCCCAGGAAAAGUACAUCCCUCAUCACACUCUUUCUGACCUUCGUUUAUGUCCGUCACAAGUUUCAGCAAAUCUGUGUGUGUUUGCUUCUUUGCCCUAGAAAACUAUGGACCAUAUAUGGGUAGGUACCUCACCUGAAUGGUCCUCUGGUAUAUUUACUGCCCAACUCAGUCAGUGCCUGAAGCACAAACUGCAUGGUGAAAUAAGGAUUUGCUGAAUCAGAGAAUAUAUAGACACUGCGUGCUUAGUCGUUCAGUGGUGUCCAACUCUUGGCAACCCUUUGGCCUGUAACCCACCAGGCUCCUCUGUCCAUGGGAUUUUUCAGGCGAGAAUAUUGAAUGCAUUGCCCAUUUCCUCCUCCAGGGUGUCUGCCCGACCCAGGGAUCGAACCCGCAUCUCAUGUGUGUUCUACAUUGCAGACAGAUUCUUUACCAGCCACGCCGUCAGGGUAGCCCCAUACAGACACUGGAUGCUUCCUGAAUAUAGUCUUCCAGGCACAUCACACUGGUUUCACUUGCCGUGAACUAAAAGCCCCAGGUCUCUUCUUGCAGCACCUCUUCUAAGACAUAUUUCUCCAUCUGCUUCUUAAGCAGUUGACUUUUUGGCCACAGGCCCAGCAUUUUAUGCUGAAUACCCAUUGUAUUUCUGCUGCUUGUUUUAGACGUUGCUCUAGUCCCCAAAGACCUUUCUUUGAUAUAUCAGUGAAUACUUUUAUUUUUCCUGAUAGAUCAGCCUGUGUGUGUUUCCUUAUUGCCGUUGGCAGACAUUGAUGGAGACGGGGAAAGGGUCAAAUGUGAAGCCCCUGUCCAUACUGCAGCCUGUCCUCCAUCCAGCCAUCAGUCUGGCACCAGCUGCCUUUGGGAAUGAAUGUUCUCUCAUGCAAACCCCACUCUUGAUAAGCAUCUCACUCAGCCUGGCUGUGUCAGGCGCCCUGCUGAAAUGAGAUACACAUUAGAACUCAGGGCCUCCUGUUCCACUCCUGCCCAGGACGAUAGAGACUUCCAGCCAAUGGUAAGAACGGCCUUGACAACACCCUCUAGUUUACCAGUCUGGUGAUCCUAGAAAAAACAGGAAAUGACUCGUUCUUAGUGAAUCCAUGCUUAGUGAUUCCUAACAAUUACUGUUCUCUCAUAAGUGUUUGCAGACCUUUAAUUCUUAAUUUCUUCUGUAACGUUUCCAGGAUCUAACCUUCCUGGAAACCCUGCCACAUGGGUCCAUUAUCUGUCCUCAAAUGUAACACCUCUAUCCUCACACCUCUAUAGGAAAGGUUUCUCCUGUCCGGCUCUGAGUAUCUAAACCCUGACCUCCUUUCCAGAUCUAGCUGGAAGGGGGCCCCCUCCGCAUUCCAGCUCUCUCUGUGCUCUGGGUCCUCGUGGAAUUCGUUAACCACAUCCCUCCUCCUCGGGGCUUGUUGCUGCCACCUG
ensembl:lncRNA